GGUUUCUCUGUGUAGUCCUGGCUGUUCUGGAACUCACUCUGUACACCAGGUUGGCCUCAAACUGGCAGAGAUCUGCUCGCCUCUGCCUCUACUCUGCCUCCCAGUGCUGGGGUUAAAGACUAAACUCCCCGGUAGCCCGGCUGUUUCUGCCAUUCACCCAUCCAGCGUCCUUCCCCUCUGCUCUGUGUAUGGAAGGUGCCCAUUGUGAGACCACAGCUGCUGAGCUCCGGUGAGGGGCCAGAGAGUCUGAGCGACGACAGAAGUCACCGCGUCUCUCCCUCUGCAAGACAGCUGGCUCUUGAUAAUGCAACACACCAGGCCUGCAGUAAUAUUGCCUGAGUGCUAGCAAUCAUUAAUGUCUUUUAAGUGAUCUUGGUGGUGGUCUCUGUAAUAGACUGUAACAAACUCGCUCAUAUAUGAUAGAAAAUAAAGUUUGAUUGUGAAACGUA